rnacentral:rRNA from 1 species
UACCGAGGGGGCGAGCGUUAAUCGGAAUUACUGGGCGUAAAGCGGACGUAGGUGGCGACGUAAGUCGGGUGUGAAAGCCCCGGGCUCAACCUGGGAAUUGCAUUCGAGACUGCAUUGCUGGAGUACGGAAGAGGAGGGCGGAAUUCCCGGUGUAGCGGUGAAAUGCGUAGAGAUCGGGUGGAACAUCAGUGGCGAAGGCGGCCCUCUGGUCCAGUACUGACACUCAAGUGCGAAAGCGUGGGGAGCAAACAGG